GUACUGCAAAUUACUUCGUAGGUACGGAAACAUGUUUAAAAAAAAUAAGUUUAUUUCUUGAAUAUAUUAGCUCCUGAAAACGAAUUGUCCACUUUCCUAUCAGUAAUAUUUUAAUGUAGUUUAUUGGUAACUUAAAAACUAUUAAUCUAACCAAAGAUUAUAAGAGAGCCAAACGCUCUUGUAAAUAAUGCAAAGCGAUGUUGUGAAAUGAGGUUCUAAGGUUAACUGGAGCAGUUCUGUGAUGAAUUAUGCAUUUCGGUGGUCAAAUGCUUGUAACGAACGUUCACAUUGAUAUGCAGGUUACUGCUUUGGGGACUCAAUUGCAAAACCAAAUUUUGAGAUAUUAAAUUCUUCUUAACUGAUUGAAUGACGAAUUUAUAACUCAUCAGCUAAAUGAUCUUUUUUAUGUUGACUUUUUCACACAAUAUGUUGUUUAGCCUACCGGUAGUACCAGCCUACCCGUAAAACAAACAAAAAUAUAACAAACCGCGUAUUCAUAAAAUCUAGUAUCAACUGCGUUUUUUUAUACAUGUUUAUAUUUAUUUUUCAGAUUUCCUUGGAUCAGAAGCCAUCGAAUGUUAUAAAUGCGCAUUUGCUCCAUACAUUUACUUCACCAAUGAAUCAUCUUUUUGUAAAGAUUUUGACCAUUCUAACAGAUUCAUAGUAGAUUGCCCUUACUCGACGUUUUGUGUAAAAAAGAACACGUACGCUAUUAUUAACGGAGUGUCAAUAAAUGGUACUGAAAGAGAUUGUGCGUCCCAAAAACUUGACACGCAACGUUUAAGUAAUGGUAAAUGGCAUCCUGAAACCAGAGUGGAAGAACCAUAUGAAGAAGGGUGUAAGGCAAAUGAAGAUAAAGGUCUGAGAACAGCUUAUGUAGAACACUGCUAUUGUAGAGGCGAAUUGUGUAAUUCAGGCAAAACUGUAUUCGAAUUUGGACUUUUUACAAUUCUAUUAAAUUCUCUAGCUGUACAUCAGGCUGUUGGCUUUAUGUUCUUAUAAUAAAUGUUUUCCUGAUAAUUAUUAAAUAAAUUAAAAGACAAAGUGCAUAUAAAAAUACAAAAGAAUAUAGUAAAAAUUAUGUAGAUAACUUAAGUAGAUAAUCAGGUUUAUAUUAUUAUUAGUUUCUAUAUAUGCGAUUGCUUUGACGCAAGGCAAUCACUACCAGUACAGCAUUUGUUGGUAUCGUGUUAUCUUGAAAAUGACAAAGUACACAUUAUCAGUUAUGUUGAACGCAUAAUGUAACAAUAAAAAAAAUGGAAUAAAUUUAAA